rnacentral:lncRNA from 1 species
AACGAUGCAUCAUAACAUUUCUAGCUGCUAGAAAGGCGGCGGGGAAAGGAGCAUCCAUACGCGCACGCAAUUAGACCCCCGCCGUGAGAUGUGUCGGCGGCUGUGAGGCAGGUGGGGACAUGCCUGGAGGCUGAAAGGGCUUCCGGACGCAUAUAUCGCACCAGGCGCCGUCGUACGCCGGACCAACGAUGCAUCAUAACAUUUCUAGUUGCUAGAAAGGCGGCAGGAAUAGGAGCAUCCAUACGGUCACGCAAUUAGACCCCCGCCGUGAGAUGCGUCGGUGGCUGUGAGGCAGGUGGGGACAUGCCUGGAGGCUGAAAGGGCUUCCGGACGCAUAUAUCGCACCAGGCGCCGUCGUACGCCGGACCAACGAUGCAUCAUAACAUUUCUAGCUGCUAGAAAGGCGGCGGGGAAAGGAGCAUCCAUACGCGUCACGCAAUUAGACCCCCGCCGUGAGAUGCGUCGGCGGCUGUGAGGCAGGUGGGGACAUGCCUGGAGGCUGAAAGGGCUUCCGGACGCAUAUAUCGCACCAGGCGCCGUCGUACGCCGGACCACCGAUGCAUCAUAACAGUAACUAGCUGCUAGAAAGGCGGCGGGGUAGGAGCAUCCAUACGGCACGCAAUUAGACCCCCGCCGUGAGAUGCGUCGGCGGCUGUGAGGCAGGUGGGGACAUGCCUGGAGGCUGAAAGGGCUUCCGGACGCAUAUAUCGCACCAGGCGCCGUCGUACGCCGGACCAACGAUGCAUCAUAACAUUUCUAGUUGUUAGAAAGGCGGCGGGGAAAGGAGCAUCCAUACGGCACGCAAUUAGACCCCCGCCGUGAGAUGCGUCGGUGGCUGUGAGGCAGGUGGGGACAUGCCUGGAGGCUGAAAGGGCUUCCGGACGCAUAAAUCGCACCAGGCGCCGUCGUACGCCGGACCAACGAAGCAUCAUAACAUUUCUAGUUGUUAGAAAGGCGGCAGGAAUAGAAGCAUCCAUACGCGCACGCAAUUAGAACCCCGCCGUGAGAUGCGUCGGUGGCUGUGAGGCAGGUGGGGACAUGCCUGGAGGCUGAAAGGGCUUCCGGACGCAUAAAUCGCACCAGGCGCCGUCGUACGCCGGACCAACGAUGCAUCAUAACAUAACUAGUUGUUAGAAAGGCGGCAGGAAUAGGAGCAUCCAUACGCGCACGCAAUUAGAACCCCGCCGUGAGAUGCGUCGGUGGCUGUGAGGCAGGUGGGGACAUGCCUGGAGGCUGAAAGGGCUUCCGGACGCAUAAAUCGCAUCAGGCGCCGUCGUACGCCGGACCAACGAUGCAUCAUAACAUAACUAGUUGUUAGAAAGGCGGCGGGGAAAGAAGCAUCCAUACGCGCACGCAAUUAGAACCCCGCCGUGAGAUGCGUCGGUGGCUGUGAGGCAGGUGGGGACAUGCCUGGAGGCUGAAAGGGCUUCCGGACGCAUAAAUCGCAUCAGGCGCCGUCGUACGCCGGACCAACGAAGCAUCAUAACAUAACUAGUUGUUAGAAAGGCGGCGGGGAAAGAAGCAUCCAUACGCGCACGCAAUUAGAACCCCGCCGUGAGAUGCGUCGGUGGCUGUGAGGCAGGUGGGGACAUGCCUGGAGGCUGAAAGGGCUUCCGGACGCAUAAAUCGCAUCAGGCGCCGUCGUACGCCGGACCACCGAUGCAUCAUAACAUUUACUAGUUGCUAGAAAGGCGGCGGGGUAAGGAGCAUCCAUACGCGCACGCAAUUAGACCCCCGCCGUGAGAUGCGUCGGCGGCUGUGAGGCAGGUGGGACAUGCCUGGAGGCUGAAAGGGCUUCCGGACGCAUAAAUCGCACCAGGCGCCGUCGUACGCCGGACCACCGAUGCAUCAUAACAUCUACUAGUUGCUAGAAAGGCGGCGGGGUAAGGAGCAUCCAUACGCGCACGCAAUUAGACCCCCGCCGUGAGAUGCGUCGGUGGCUGUGAGGCAGGUGGGACAUGCCUGGGAGGCUGAAAGGGCUUCCGGACGCAUACAUCGCACCAGGCGCCGUCGUACACCGGACCAACGAUGUAUCAUAACAUCAACUAGUUGCCAGAAAAGCGGCGGGGAACGCGUCUUCAUCAGUCACGCUCGCUAGCCCCCACCGUGGGCGUCGGUGGAUGUGAGACAGGUCAUCCCUGGGAGGGUGAAGUACUCCCACUGGCAUCNNNNNNNNNNNNNNNNNNNNNNNNNNNNNNNNNNNNNNNNNNNNNNNNNNNNNNNNNNAUGUUGCGUUUCAAGCGUAUGAAGGCUCGUUGCGUCAAGCUUAAUGCGGCCUAAGCUAACACACAACAAGCACACACGAUUUACCUUUGAUGAAUCGCAUGACAUAACAAUUCGCAUGCGAUGUUUUAUGUGUUGGUCGCAUACUCAGUUCGUAAACCUUCACACAGUCUCAUGAGAGAAUAACAUGCUUGGCAGCACUCAGGGGGGGCUUCCGCAAACGAAAUCGCAUCAGGCGCAGCCCUACACCGCACAACGAUUCAUCAUACCAUCAACAAGAUGCCAGAAAGGUGGCGGAACAUGCCACAUGCGAACGCGCACGCAAUUAGACCCCCGCCGUGAGAUGCGUCGGUGGCUGUGAGGCAGGUGGGACAUGCCUGGAGGCUGAAAGGGCUUCCGGAUGCAUAAAUCGCACCAGGCGCCGUCGUACGCCGGACCAACGAUGCAUCAUAACAGUAACUAGCUGCUAGAAAGGCGGCAGGAAUAGGAGCAUCCAUACGCGCACGCAAUUAGAACCCCGCCGUGAGAUGCGUCGGCGGCUGUGAGGCAGGUGGGGACAUGCCUGGAGGCUGAAAGGGCUUCCGGACGCAUAAAUCGCAUCAGGCGCCGUCGUACGCCGGACCAACGAUGCAUCAUAACAGUAACUAGCUGCUAGAAAGGCGGCAGGAAUAGGAGCAUCCAUACGCGCACGCAAUUAGACCCCCGCCGUGAGAUGCGUCGGCGGCUGUGAGGCAGGUGGGGACAUGCCUGGAGGCUGAAAGGGCUUCCGGACGCAUAAAUCGCACCAGGCGCCGUCGUACGCCGGACCAACGAUGCAUCAUAACAUUAACUAGUUGCUAGAAAGGCGGCGGGGUAAGGAGCAUCCAUACGCGCACGCAAUUAGACCCCCGCCGUGAGAUGCGUCGGUGGCUGUGAGGCAGGUGGGACAUGCCUGGGAGGCUGAAAGGGCUUCCGGACGCAUACAUCGCACCAGGCGCCGUCGUACACCGGACC